rnacentral:sRNA from 1 species
GGUCCGCGGCGCGGUCGGUCGGCGCCUAUUCUCGGGCUGUUUGGCGGACGAAGCUUCACAAAAGAUGUCUAAGCAACAGCCAACUCAGUUUAUAAAUCCAGAAACACCUGGCUAUGUUGGAUUUGCAAAUCUCCCCAAUCAAGUUCACCGAAAAUCAGUGAAAAAAGGUUUUGAGUUCACACUGAUGGUGGUCGGUGAAUCAGGUCUAGGAAAAUCGACUCUCAUAAACAGCCUAUUCCUAACUGAUCUGUACCCAGAAAGAGUCAUACCUGGAGCAGCAGUUUGUUUCUUUUCUAGAAAAAAUUGAAAGAACCGUCCAGAUUGAGGCUUCAACUGUUGAAAUUGAAGAGCGAGGGGUCAAGCUACGCCUGACAGUGGUAGAUACCCCUGGCUAUGGUGACGCUAUCAACUGCAGAGAUUGGUAUGCACCCCCAUGCCCAGGGAUCUGCAUUUGUUUACUUAAUAUACUUAAAUUUAUAGAUAGUGUUAAUGAGUGAUUAUUAAGUUUGGGAUUGCUGUAUAUAAUAAAACAGCUAGACAAUUUAAAGUGUGUUAAAUGUUGACUUUUUAAAUAAGGAAUUUUAUGGAGAGUAAUUUUUUUCCGGUACUCUACUGUAAUUUGAGAUCGCAAAGCCAGUCAUCCAUAGACUGCUAGU